UUCGCAAGGCAUGCUGGGUAUGCUACCCUUCCUUUUUUGGCGGUUUUACUUCGUAGUAACUUUCCAGAAAAACGAAAGGGUUAUGAUGAGAGAUUAUGUCAUACCCUGGCACAUGCUUUGUCCAAUGGACCAUGGAAGGGACUUUACUUGGCUGACGAGGACGCACCUCACCAGUAACAGAGCAACAGCUGUGGGGUG